rnacentral:misc_RNA from 1 species
UGAAACCUCGUGAUUCCACCAACUUGAUUAUCACUUUAAUUGGAGUUGUGAUCACACUUGCCAUACUCUUCUCGAUAUUCCAUGCAUUACGCAAACAUUGUUCUUUUGAAUAUGUGAAUGGAAUAUGUAACAAAAAUGUCGAGGAAGAUUACCAAGAAACUGAGUCUGUUUAUCAUGAAAUGGAUGAGACACGCAUUUCAAAAAAUUGAAAAUAUGUAUUAUUAUUUUUCAACAAAACUUCGCAACAAUUAACAUUAUGCCAGAUGGAUCACCAUGUUUGCAAUCAAUUUUGUUACAAUAAUAAAAAUAGUUAUGAUG